rnacentral:rRNA from 1 species
GGGCACUUUGAUAUGUUUUCUAGAUGGGUUGUAGCUGGCUCUUCGGAGUAUGUGCACGCCUGUCUGGACUUCAUUUUCAUCCACCUGUGCACCUUUUGUAGUCUUUUUCAGGUAUUGGAGGAAGUGGUCAGCCUAUCAGCUCUUUGCUGGAUGUAAGGACUUGCAGUGUGAAAACAGUGCUGUCCUUUACCUUGGCCAUGGAAUCUUUUUCCUGUUAGAGUCUAUGUUAUUCAUUAUACUCUUAGAAUGUCAUUGAAUGUCUUUACAUGGGCUAUGCCUAUGAAAAUUAUUAUACAACUUUCAGCAACGGAUCUCUUGGCUCUCGCAUCGAUGAAGAACGCAGCGAAAUGCGAUAAGUAAUGUGAAUUGCAGAAUUCAGUGAAUCAUCGAAUCUUUGAACGCAUCUUGCGCUCCUUGGUAUUCCGAGGAGCAUGCCUGUUUGAGUGUCAUUAUAUUCUCAACUCUCCAAUACUUUGUUGUAAAGGAGAGCUUGGAUUGUGGAGGUUUGCUGGCUCCUUACUUGGGGUCAGCUCCUCUGAAAUGCAUUAGCGGAAUCGUCUGCGAUCUGCCACAAGUGUGAUAACUUAUCUACACUGGCGAGGGGAUUGCUUUCUGAUGUUCAGCUUCUAAUCGUCUAAGGACAAUUUCUUGAAUGCUUGACCUCAAAUCAGGUAGGACUACCCGCUGAACUUAAGCAUAUCAAUAAGUCGGAGGAAA